GUGGAUACAUGUUGAUUUAUUCAUUUGUUUAGAAGUAAGAGGUUCAGCUUGCUGGAUGUCCUUGCAGGAGUAGUCGAGCACAGGAUCUUCCUACGAUUUGGAGGUUUGUUGUUCUUCCAAGAUUUCAGGGAGUAGGCAUGUUGCUGCCAUUUUACUGGGCGGAUACGUGCACUGCUGAGACCUUAGUCUAUCCAUUGUCGGAGUAUUUUAUGAAUUUACUCUUCUCCAUAGCGCGUCCAUGAGGGCAGAAAUUCCAUGCUCCAAAUCUGCUUGGCGAGCAGUAGGUUAUCUGGUGAUUGCUUUUGUCAACUGACCGGUUAUGAGAUUUAUGUGCACCAUGUGUUUUGUCGAUUCACCUUAUGCAGGUAGUAGUCGCUUACUACAGUACAUGCUUCGUGAUGGAAGAGAAAGUAAUUUGUAUGUAUGUGCGUAUUAUUUUAUUCCUGCGUAAAAGGUUUAGCUGUGAACAACAAUUUUUUCAUGGUGGAUACCUUAAAGUGGACGGCAAUGCAUUUACUUCAAUUCAGUUUAGAGAACAAUGUUAGGUGUCAUACUUCUGUUUUUUUUUCAUUUGCAUACAAGAUUACUAAUUAUAGUACUCCCUCCGUCCGAAAAUACUUGUCGCGAAAAUGGGUAAAAGUGGAUGCAUCUAAAACUAAAAUACGACUAGAUACAUCCAUUCAUCCGACAAGUAUUUCCGGACGGAGGGAGUACUAAACUGGCAUAUGCAUCAGUCUUGACUUUUCUUCUAGAAGCGUGCAUGCCAUUUUGACAUUAUUUGUACAACCUUCAAUUACUUUCCUGUAACUGUUUUUGAUGUUGUACAAGCUGCAAUUGUGCUACUUGGAGGUAUCAGGCAUCACCGCCUGAAUUUUGAAAAAAAGUGCUACUGAAGGGUUGACUAGAACGGGCUUUGUACACUUUCUAUUGGAUUUAAUUUCUAAAGUUAAUUCUCGGCACGAUGACGGGGCUAGCAGGCUGCUGGAGCAUAUGGCUGACGGUAGCUGCGUCUACGGCCGUGGGGAAAGUAACGUCCAGGAGUGGUGUGGGUGGCCACCGGCGUCCCUUGAUGGCAUGUAGGAGCGACAUGGCGUGGGAAGUGCCAGUCUGUGGCAGCAGGUGGCUGUUGAUGAGAGCGAGUGUGAUCUGAUCGUGGCCAUCGGGAUGGGUAACCGGGAAGGUGUUCUUUUGUCAAAAUCGAUCAAGUUGCACAACUGUGUUGCUACAUGACUUUCAUGUCUGUU